AGCAUACUCCCGCAUUGUUCCCCCAACGAGAUAUAUACAGGAUGGAGAUGGCAACAUGCUUGUUUGAAGCAUAUGAACACACUAGAUGCACAAGCAAAACAUCUUUACAUUACACCAUUCUCUUCGUACAAUUGUCUCCACCAAUCAUAUGCAAUGAGCAUGAAUCAUCUGAACCUUCCUCCAGCCUCCUUUAGAUAGCUCGGAUGGCGUUACCUCUGAAAUCAGAUUUUAUAGGAAGGUCCAUUUUAUCUUUUUCAGCACCCAGGCCAUAUGAUGAAAG
rnacentral:misc_RNA from 1 species